AAGACUGUAGCAUAAUAGGUUAAUGCUCAUUGCUCAUAACGAUGAAAAUAAGGGUUCGAUCCCCUUCGGUCUUA
rnacentral:tRNA from 1 species